AUUGAACGCUGGCGGCAUGCCUUACACAUGCAAGUCGAACGGUAACGGGCCUUCGGGUGCCGACGAGUGGCGAACGGGUGAGUAAUACAUCGGAACGUGCCCGAUCGUGGGAGAUAACGAGGCGAAAGCUUUGCUAAUACCGCAUACGAUCUACGGAUGAAAGCAGGGGACCGCAAGGCCUUGCGCGGACGGAGCGGCCGAUGGCAGAUUAGGUAGUUGGUGGGAUAAAAGCUUACCAAGCCGACGAUCUGUAGCUGGUCUGAGAGGAUGAUCAGCCACACUGGGACUGAGACACGGCCCAGACUCCUACGGGAGGCAGCAGUGGGGAAUUUUGGACAAUGGGCGCAAGCCUGAUCCAGCCAUGCCGCGUGCAGGAUGAAGGCCUUCGGGUUGUAAACUGCUUUUGUACGGAACGAAAAGCCUUCUUUUAAUACAGGAGGGUCAUGACGGUACCGUAAGAAUAAGCACCGGCUAACUACGUG
rnacentral:rRNA from 1 species